rnacentral:rRNA from 1 species
GCGUGAGUGAAGAAGGCCCUAGGGUUGUAAAGCUCUUUCACCGGUUAAGAUAAUGACGGUAACCGGGUAAUGUAAGCCCCGGCUAACUUCGUGCCAGCAGCCGCGGUAAUACGAAGGGGGCUAGUGUUGUUCGGAAUUACUGGGCGUAAAGCGCGCGUAGGCGGAUAAAUAAGUUAGAGGUGAAAUCCCGGAGCUCAACUUCGGAACUGCCUUUAAUACUGUUUUUCUAGAGUUCGAGAGAGGUGAAUGGAAUUCCGAGUGUAGAAGUGAAAUUCGU